rnacentral:rRNA from 1 species
CGAUGUCGGCUCAUCGCAUCCUGGGGCUGAAGCAGGUCCCAAGGGUUGGGCUGUUCGCCCAUUAAAGCGGUACGCGAGCUGGGUUUAGAACGUCGUGAGACAGUUCGGUCCCUAUCCUCUGCAGCCGUAGCUAGAUUGAGGAAAGCUGUCCCUAGUACGAGAGGACCGGGAUGGACGUAGCUCUAGUGUGCCAGUUGUCCCGCCAGGGGCAUGGCUGGUUUGCCACCUACGGAAGGGAUAACCGCUGAAAGCAUCUAAGUGGGAAGCCCUUUUCAAGAUGAAUCUAGCCACCGGGUUAACCGGGUAAGGCCCGUGGUAGACCACCACGUUGAUAGGCCGGAAGUGUACGCACAGCAAUGUGUUCAGCUGACCGGUACUAAUCGGCCGAGGGCUUGGUUGA